UGGGGAAUAUUGCACAAUGGGCGCAAGCCUGAUGCAGCCAUGCCGCGUGUAUGAAGAAGGCCUUCGGGUUGUAAAGUACUUUCAGCGGGGAGGAAGGGAGUAAAGUUAAUACCUUUGCUCAUUGACGUUACCCGCAGAAGAAGCCCCGGCUAACUCCGUGCCAGCAGCCGCGGUAAUACGGAGGGUGCAAGCGUUAAUCGGAAUUACUGGGCGUAAAGCGCACGCAGGCGGUUUGUUAAGUCAGAUGUGAAAUCCCCGGGCUCAACCUGGGAACUGCAUCUGAUACUUGCAAGCUUGAGUCUCGUAGAGGGGGGUAGAAUUCCAGGUGUAGCGGUGAAAUGCGUAGAGAUCUGGAGGAAUACCGGUGGCGAAGGCGGCCCCCUGGACGAAGACUGACGCUCAGGUGCGAAAGCGUGGGGAGCAAACAGG
rnacentral:rRNA from 1 species